AGAUCAUGUUGAUGGCAAUUCAUCAGUAAUCCCUUGUAUCUCUCCCAAGCUUCAUAUAAGGACUCGCCAUUUUCUUAUUGAAAGUUAGUAAUAUUCUACUUCAACCU